AUUGAACGCUGGCGGCAUGCCUUACACAUGCAAGUCGAACGGCAGCACGGGGGCAACCCUGGUGGCGAGUGGCGAACGGGUGAGUAACAUAUCGGAACAUACCCUAGAGUGGGGGAUAACGUAGCGAAAGUUACGCUAAUACCGCAUACGAUCUAAGGAUGAAAGUGGGGGAUCUUCGGACCUCAUGCUCAUGGAGUGGCCGAUAUCUGAUUAGCUAGUUGGUGAGGUAAAGGCUCACCAAGGCGACGAUCAGUAGCUGGUUUGAGAGAACGACCAGCCACACUGGAACUGAGACACGGUCCAGACUCCUACGGAGGCAGCAGUGGGGAAUUUUGGACAAUGGGGGCAACCCUGAUCCAGCAAUGCCGCGUGAGUGAAGAAGGCCUUCGGUUGUAACC
rnacentral:rRNA from 1 species